rnacentral:rRNA from 1 species
AUGAACGCUGGCGGCGUGCCUAAUACAUGCAAGUCGAGCGAACAGACGAGGAGCUUGCUCCUCUGACGUUAGCGGCGGACGGGUGAGUAACACGUGGAUAACCUACCUAUAAGACUGGGAUAACUUCGGGAAACCGGAGCUAAUACCGGAUAAUAUAUUGAACCGCAUGGUUCAAUAGUGAAAGACGGUUUUGCUGUCACUUAUAGCUGGAUCCGCGCCGCAUUAGCUAGUUGGUAAGGUAACGGCUUACCAAGGCGACGAUGCGUAGCCGACCUGAGAGGGUGAUCGGCCACACUGGAACUGAGACACGGUCCAGACUCCUACGGGAGGCAGCAGUAGGGAAUCUUCCGCAAUGGGCGAAAGCCUGACGGAGCAACGCCGCGUGAGUGAUGAAGGUCUUCGGAUCGUAAAACUCUGUUAUUAGGGAAGAACAAAUGUGUAAGUAACUAUGCACGUCUUGACGGUACCUAAUCAGAAAGCCACGGCUAACUACGUG